rnacentral:rRNA from 1 species
UACGUAGGUGGCAAGCGUUGUCCGGAAUUAUUGGGCGUAAAGUGCGCGCAGGCGGUCCCUUAAGUCUGAUGUGAAAGCCCACGGCUCAACCGUGGAGGGUCAUUGGAAACUGGGGGACUUGAGUGCAGAAGAGGAAAGUGGAAUUCCAUGUGUAGCGGUGAAAUGCGUAGAGAUGUGGAGGAACACCAGUGGCGAAGGCGACUUUCUGGUCUGUAACUGACGCUGAGGCGCGAAAGCGUGGGGAGCAAACAGG